rnacentral:rRNA from 1 species
UACGGAGGGUGCUAGCGUUGUUCGGAAUUACUGGGCGUAAAGCGCGUGUAGGCGGCUUGGCAAGUCGGUGGUGAAAUCCCCGGGCUUAACCCGGGAACUGCCAUCGAAACUACCUAGCUAGAGUCUCGGAGAGGAAGGCAGAAUUCCCAGUGUAGGGGUGAAAUCCGUAGAUACUGGGAGGAAUACCGGUAGCGAAGGCGGCCUUCUGGACGAUGACUGACGCUCAGACGCGAAAGCGUGGGGAGCAAACAGG